rnacentral:rRNA from 1 species
UUCCGGUUGAUCCUGCCAGAGGCGACCGCUUUUGGAGUUCGAUUAAGCCAUGCGAGUAGAAAGAAAUUAGAUUCUUUGCAAACUGCUCAGUAACACGUGGAUAACCUGCCCUAUGCUCCGGAAUAACCUCGGGAAACUGAGAAUAAUACCGGAUAGAUCACAACGCCUGGAACGGUGUGUGGUUCAAAGGUCACGGCAUAGGAUGGGUCUGCGGCGUAUCAGGUCGUAGGGGGUGUAACGGACCUCCUAGCCAUCGACGCGUACGGGUGUUGGGAGACAUAGCCCGGAGAUGGAUUCUGAGACACGAAUCCAGACCCUACGGGGUGCAGCAGGCGCGAAAACUUCACACUGCAGGAAACUGUGAUGAGGGAACUCCAAGUGCGCGCACUUAGUGUGCGCUUUUCUUGACUAUUAAUCGGUCAUGGAAUAAGGGCUGGGAAAGACCGGUGCCAGCCGCCGCGGUAAUACCGGCAGCUCAAGUGGUCGUCGCUUUUAUUGGGCCUAAAACGUCCGUAGCCUGUUUGGUAAAUCUGUGGGUAAAUCAACCAGCUUAACUGGUUGAAUUCUGCAGAGACUGCCAGACUAGGGACCGGGAGAGGUGUGGGGUACUCUAGGGGUAGGGGUAAAAUCCUGUCAUCCUUAGAGGACCA